rnacentral:rRNA from 1 species
GACGAACGCUGGCGGCGUGCUUAACACAUGCAAGUCGAACGGAAAGGCCCUGCUUUUGUGGGGUGCUCGAGUGGCGAACGGGUGAGUAACACGUGAGUAACCUGCCCUUGACUUUGGGAUAACUUCAGGAAACUGGGGCUAAUACCGGGUAGGAGCUCCUGCUGCAUGGUGGGGGUUGGAAAGUUUCGGCGGUUGGGGAUGGACUCGCGGCUUAUCAGCUUGUUGGUGGGGUAGUGGCUUACCAAGGCUUUGACGGGUAGCCGGCCUGAGAGGGUGACCGGCCACAUUGGGACUGAGAUGCGGCCCAGACUCCUACGGGAGGCAGCAGUGGGGAAUAUUGCACAAUGGGCGGAAGCCUGAUGCAGCAACGCCGCGUGCGGGAUGACGGCCUUCGGGUUGUAAACCGCUUUCGCCUGUGACGAAGCGUGAGUGACGGUAAUGGGUAAAGAAGCACCGGCUAACUACGUG